AUGAUGAAGAUGAUGAUGCUUGAACCGCUCCAGGGGCCUCCAUCAGAAUGAUGCGUUCCUGGUCAUCGCAGCGGAUCGUUGUUCUUUGUUCUCUGUGUCUACGCCUUCUUCUACCUCAACCUGAGCACCGAGAUUAACCUGGAUCUGGACGUGGAUUAAUAAGAGAUGGGACGGUGUGCCGCCGACGUCUCGUCUCUACACUUCCUACACGAGGACGCAGUCUGUCAGCUUUUAUUUACACACUUCCGGUGACAAUGAAGUGCCUCUUCAGGAGAAAUGUGACAAUGCAUCAAUAACUCUUCAAGCUUUACAUGCAUGAGUGUAAGUUUGUUCUAUUCUGUCCCUGAGUCUACAUCUGAGUGUUUGCUUCCCUUUCACUAAGCAAGUCAGUGACCUCUCCCUCCAUCACACUUCUAUAACAUUCUGCUGCAAAAUCCACAUCCAGCGCAGAAAAUGAGCCUGAUUUUAUUUUUUAUUCUUUUCUCUGUUAAUCGUAUCCUGCGGAAUCACGUCCCACUGUUUUUCUCCACUAAUAGAAAAAUGUAAAUCUCCUCCUGAACCUCUCGUCACAUCGAGACAAACACUUGCCUCACAUUCUAUUGCACAAACCUCUCUUCCCGUAUAUCUGGAGAUCACAAAGUGUGAGAUUAGAAUCCACAAAGCCCUCGCCCUGAUUGAAUGUGUGUGCAGAAUACAGAACAACACAUUCUACCUGCCACACACACACACACACACACAAACACACAGAGACGUGCAGCACAUAGACAGACAUUCACAGGAUUAGCAUUACAAAUAUGAUCCUGUUCGUUCAUUUGAAUGGAAAUUACCGACAUGAAUGAAGAGUGAAUCAAGGUGAGCCUGUAUGUUUCUCAUGAGGAACACCUUGAUAACUUUCCUUUCUGUCAAAUGUAUGUAUUGUAUGAAGGUUUGUCAAAGCCUCUUUAUCAAUGCUCUUUGUGCACCAGUACCGCAAGGUGCAAUGACUGACCUUCCAUUAAGCCUCUCAGUCCAAGUGCUUUCACUAUUUCAGAGAUUCAUUGUUAGCAGGAGCUUUUAUUUUGUCUAUUUAUCUUUUUUUUUCUUUUCUUUUUUUUGGAAAUUGCAAAAUAUAUUCCAUGUUAUCACUUUCUAUUCCAUGUUUGUCCUCCGCACCCCAACUAUCAAUAGCAAUACUGUUGUCUAAAAAGGCAAGUCUUAGAUAUCGUUCUUAGAUAUGACUCUUUUAUAUAAGUGUAAUGCAUAAAAGGCCAAUACCAAAUACACAAGAGGCCUUGUGACUCUGACAUAUCAUCAACCCCCCCCCCACCCCACCCCACCACUGAGUCCCUUUUUUUAAAAACAAGUCUUGCGUCUGUGCCUGGCUGUGUUCUGUGGACGAGAUGAAAUGUGAGACUUAUUUUGAGCUUUCAGUUUCUGCCUCUUUUCUCCCAUGACCUCCCUAACCUCUAGUAAAACUACACGUCCAAGAAACCAUUAUGAUAAGCAUGCAUCCGUACCCUCACCAAGUGGCUUUUAUCUGGCCUUGAUACAUCCAAGACAUGCGUUACAAUAGAUAGCCCGACCUAACAGACCUUCAUACUUGACACCUGUUAUCUAAAAGGUCACCAUUACCAACUACGAGAGCUCUGACAUCCGCACAAUGGGAAGGAUCUGACAGCGCAACUUAUUUAUUCAGACCCACGUUUGGCAAGAUGAGAUGCAAGCUACUUUUCUUAAUAGUGCUUUUAUUGAAUUAGUAUGUGGACAUUUUACGGUUUGCUUUCUCGUUACGGGAUACUGUGGGAUAUAUUAUGAAUUGUCUUUCUGUGUGUGUUUUUGUUACAUGGUUUCAUGUAUCUCUUUGUAAGAAAAUAUAAAUGAUGCAUAAUGCGGGAGAAGAUUAAAGAACCUUUUCAGUUUUCAA